UACGUAGGUGACAAGCGUUGUCCGGAUUUACUGGGCGUAAAGAGCGCGCAGGCGGUCGUUCAAGUCGAGUGUGAAAGCCCCCGGCUCAACUGGGGAGGGUCACUCGAUACUGAUCGACUCGAAGGCAGGAGAGGGAAGUGGAAUUCCCGGUGUAGUGGUGAAAUGCGUAGAUAUCGGGAGGAACACCGAGUGGCGAAGGCGACUUCCUGGCCUGUUCUUGACGCUGAGGCGCGAAAGCUAGGGGAGCAACGGGG
rnacentral:rRNA from 1 species